rnacentral:rRNA from 1 species
UGGGGAAUCUUGCACAAUGGGGGAAACCCUGAUGCAGCGACGCCGCGUGAGCGAUGAAGCCCUUCGGGGUGUAAAGCUCUUUCGGCAGGAACGAUAAUGACGGUACCUGCAGAAGAAGCUGCGGCUAACUACGUGCCAGCAGCCGCGGUAAUACGUAGGCAGCAAGCGUUGUUCGGAAUUACUGGGCGUAAAGAGUGUGUAGGUGGUGUCGUAAGUUUGGUGUGAAAUCUCCCGGCUUAACUGGGAGGGUGCGCCGAAGACUGCGAUGCUGGAGUAUGGGAGAGGAAAGCGGAAUUCCUGGUGUAGCGGUGAAAUGCGUAGAUAUCAGGAGGAACACCUGCGGUGUAGACGGCUUUCUGGACCAUUACUGACACUGAGACACGAAAGCGUGGGUAGCAAACAGG